rnacentral:lncRNA from 1 species
AGCUCUCCAUGCUGGCUGUGUGGCCAGCAUACCUCCUGCCUUUUCAACGAUUCCUCUGCCCUGGAUAGAGAGCGGUGUCUCAUAACAGUUUGGAAACUACAAAAGUUUCCCUGGCAGGAUGAAUGAUUGACUCGGCAACAUGUUCUUGCCUUUUGGAGUUGCCCUCCAAUUUUUCCAGGCUUGAUUCUGUAAAUCAUUUCAUCUUGUAAAAAUACUGGGCUGUGAGCACGGAUGAUCUCAAAGAUGAGGAAACAGAAGCUGGGAUAUGUGAGUAAACAUUUCCAAGGUCCUGCAGCUAAUCAAUGGUUGACAACUUCUUUCCUCUGCCUAUGUUGCCAUCCAUGUCAUGGUUUGUGUCAAGACUCUAGGAGAAGUCUACCAUCAGCACCACAGCUACUGUGCACAAAUCCAGAAUGCCAGACUGAAGUCAGAAGGAAAGAGAUGAUGCAGCUCAUUGCUGAUGCUGAGAUCCAACGUCCAGUGCCUGAGUACCCCUGGAUUCUGAGCACUAGGGGCUGGACUGUGGAGACCAUCAGUUCAUAACAUCCUGUCCCUGCUCCCUGCUGUAGAUGACUGAGACCAGGAAAAAAAGCAUCUCUCUGAAGUUAAAUGGCAUUUCAUUUUGAUUAAUUGUAGAAAGAAGAUUGGAAAAAUCUCCCAUGACCAAGGAAAAUUGUGAAAAAUAUUUCUGAUAUUUUGUCUAUGCAUUUUAUUUUUGAGGGUGUUUUUUAUAUUAGUGUGACUAUUUUGUAUUUCCUACCCUGUUGUAAACUUUUUAAAAAUUGCUCUUACAGUUAUUACUAAGUAUAUGAUUUAAAAUCCCUAAUUAGGGUUCUUAAACAAGGGAGAAGCACUCUCAUACCCCUAGAACAAGAUGAACAAAAGAAGGAGGAAAAAUCUUGACCUCCGUAAGAUCCAGGAUGGCACGUGCAAGGCACUGACACAGCAUCUGCCGGCAUCACUGACUCUCCUGGACCCCAGAAGCCCAGUUCCCCAGGCUCUGAAACCCUGCAGCAAUGAAAAGGAAGCACAGGCAAACCAUAAGGAAGAUAAUUUUUCUACUAAAAAAUAAAUAGAAAUGCAUCCUUAGAGGCAGGUUUCAUGAGGACACAGAGAAUCCGGUUUUGUGUGUGCCUGAUUUCGUUUUUCUGUCAAAGAGAUACAAAACAAUCAACUGAGUUAUCUUGAACUUACAAAGAUUAAAAAUAAUCAAUUCCUGUUACUAUUUUCAAUUUUUCCCCCAUUUUACUUCUUUAGGUAUGAAGAAAUGUAGCCUAUUAAAACCUGGAUUAAUAAAAACCUUUCAUUAACUUUUAGAAGGUGUGUGAUAACGAAAUCAGUGUAUGUCCAAUAACCUUGUCCAGUGACUAUGAAUUCAGGCCAAUUAAUUAGUGAUUCUCAACCUUGG